rnacentral:rRNA from 1 species
UCCUGGGGUAGAGGGGAAUUCGUUAUCCUAGGGGGCGGNCAGGGGGAAGGCGUCUAGCUAGAACCGGGUCUGACGGUGAGGGAGGAAGGCCCUGGGGCGCAAACCGGAUUAGAUACCCCCGGUAGUCCAGGGGGUAAACGCUGCUUGCUUGAUGUUAGUCUGGCUCCGAGCCAGAUUAGUGUCGGGAGAGAAGGUGUUAAGCAAGCUGCCUGGGAAGUACGGCCGCAAGACGGAAACUUAAAGGAAUUGGCGGGGGAGCACAGCAACGGGUGGAGCGCGCGGUUUAAUUGGAUUCAACGCCGGAAAGCUCACCGGAGGCGACGGUUACAUGAAGGCCAAGCUGAUGACUUUGCCUGAUUUUCCGAGAGGUGGUGCAUGGCCGCCGUCAGUUCGUACCGUAAGGCGUUCUGUUAAGUCAGACAACGAACGAGACCCUCAUCUUUAAUUGCUACUGGUAAGUUCGCUUAUCAGGCACAUUAACGAAACCGCUGGCGAUAAGUCAGAGGAAGGCGAGGGCAACGGUAGGUCAGUAUGCCCUGAAUCCUCCGGGCUACACGCGCGCUACAAAGGCUAGGACAAUGAGAUUCGACACCGAAAGGUGAAGGUAACCUCGAAACCUAGUUAUAGUUCGGAUCGAGGGUUGAAACUCACCCUCGGGAAGCUGGAAUCCGUAGUAAUCGCGGAUCAACAUCCCGCGGUGAAUAUGCCCCUGCUCCUUGCACACACCGCCCGUCAA